AGAGUUUGAUCCUGGCUCAGAACGAACGCUGGCGGCAGGCCUAACACAUGCAAGUCGCAGGGGAAGCCGUCCUUCGGGGUGGUGGAGACUGGCGCACGGGUGAGUAACGCGUGGGUAUCUGCCCUGGGGUGGGGGAUAACCGCUGGAAACGGCGGCUAAUACCGCAUACGCCCUGAGGGGGAAAGCCGAGAGGCGCUCUGGGAGGAGCCCGCGUCCGAUUAGCUUGUUGGUGGGGUAACGGCCCACCAAGGCAUCGAUCGGUAGCUGGUCUGAGAGGAUGAUCAGCCACACUGGGACUGAGACACGGCCCAGACUCCUACGGGAGGCAGCAGUGGGGAAUAUUGGACAAUGGGCGCAAGCCUGAUCCAGCCAUGCCGCGUGAGUGAAGAAGGCCCUAGGAUUGUAAAGCUCUUUCACCCGUGAAGAUGAUGACGGUAGCGGGAGAAGAAGCCCCGGCUAACUCCGUGCCAGCAGCCGCGGUAAUACGGAGGGGGCGAGCGUUGUUCGGAAUUACUGGGCGUAAAGGGCGCGUAGGCGGACGAUCAAGUCAGGGGUGAAAGUCCUGGGCUCAACCUGGGGACUGCCCUUGAAACUGAUUGUCUUGAGACCGGGAGAGGAUGGCGGAAUUCCCAGUGUAGAGGUGAAAUUCGUAGAUAUUGGGAAGAACACCGGUGGCGAAGG
rnacentral:rRNA from 1 species